UAUACAUGCAGCUGAGCACUGUACGCCCCCUGCACACACACACCCCAAGCCACACAUACUCGGACCCUCGCCCAUGCGGACAAGCACCGGAGGCAUUUGGUGGCGCUCACUCAUUGAGCACCUCUCUAUUGCAGCUCUCACAGAUGAGCGGCAUAAUCACUCCGCUCUCCGGGGGCCACGAGCUCAGAAACAUCCUAAUGAAAAAUAAAUGUAUUUACAGGGAGACGUCAAAGCCGCCAGGACCAGUCAAAGUAAUAUGCCUGCGACCGGCACAUGGACUUUUAUUUCUUCUCCCUCCACGCUCCAGAGCUGCUCCUGCGGCGUGGAGAGAUAAAUAUUUUAAAUAGCGACACUUUGGCGAUGCACGGUUAUGCAAGACAAGGAAUAAUUAGAAAAUAAAUUACUUUUUUUAAACACAGCGUUACAAACAUCGGGUGCAUCAGAUUACUGUUCUCUGCAGGCCAGGGCCACACGGCUCAGGGAGGCCAGCGCAACAAGGACCUCAGGGAGCAAGCACACACCAGCCUGUCCCCACAGCCCCCAGAUGGUGACACCCCUCCCGCCUGCUCUGGGAGGCUCCCAGAAUCGAGCUGAAGACCACACUUGGCAGCUUCCAGAAGAUCUCGGCGAUGGAAAGGCUUCCUCCGGCGUCUCACCAGCAGUAGCGCAGACUAAAAAUAGUUUAAUCUCCUUGAAAGCAAAAGGAGCAAUCAGCAAAACAGACACUUGGGCCCACAUCCUCCCCCCAUUCCUCUCCUCGUUCUGCCCCCAUCCAUCCAAGCUGUCCCCAGCUAUGCAUCGUCAACUUCUACCCAUCCCAGGAUAGUGCCCCACAGCCUCUGAGGAGGGCAGCUAUUGCCCAUCGUCCAGGACUCCUCAUGCCUGCAGCCCUACAUAUACACAGCAUGUGUCCUUUAAACCUUGUGACACCCCAGAAGGGAGGCAAGACAGGAAAUGUUAGCCCUGCUUCACAGAUGAAGAAACUGAGGCAUAGAGAAGUGGAGUCAUUUGCCUGAGGCUAGCAAUGGUAGACAAGGGCUGUGUGCAAAUGGAGUGGCUCAGCCUCUGCAGAAAGGAGUCCACCCUCCUACUCCCUCAGCUUCAGGAGAAGAAGCUCAAUCUCAAUAGGUGAUGAUGGGGACUGAG
rnacentral:lncRNA from 1 species